UACGUAGGUGGCAAGCGUUAUCCGGAUUUAUUGGGCGUAAAGGGAACGCAGGCGGUCUUUUAAGUCUGAUGUGAAAGCCUUCGGCUUAACCGGAGUAGUGCAUUGGAAACUGGGAGACUUGAGUGCAGAAGAGGAGAGUGGAACUCCAUGUGUAGCGGUGAAAUGCGUAGAUAUAUAGAAGAACACCAGUGGCGAAAGCGGCUCUCUGGUCUGUAACUGACGCUGAGGUUCGAAAGCGUGGGUAGCAAACAGG
rnacentral:rRNA from 1 species